UGAGAAUUAACUACAACUCUCUCUUUCUCUUUUCUCUUAGGGAUUAAAACAGCAGCCAUAAAAUUUCUUCUAGGGUUCUUGAAGAAAUCCUCACCUUUGCAAGACAAGGUAAAUGAAAACACUUAUGGAUUUAGCUUAAUUCUCCCAUGAAUGAUUAGGAAAACAUGUUAUUUAUGCUCAAGUAUAAGUACAAAGGCAGAAUGUUUCCACAAGCUGCUACUCACUUUUCUUGAUUAUUUAGAUACUUUUCUCUUCUUCUUUGGUUUAAGUGUGAAGGGAAGUUGAAGUUCUUGAAGAUUCCAAGUUAAAAGGAAAGGUUGCAUAAAUUGAGGUAAGGUGACUACUCUAUUUUUGUCCUCUUUAUGCAUGAGUUUGAGUAAAGAAUUAUGGGUAUGUUAUUAUUAAGAACUCAAGAAAUAGUGAGUUCAAUACUUGGUUGCUAUGAUAAAGAAUAUUUGGGGUUGUUUUAUGUGUAUUGUUGUUGGGGCAGCUUGGGUAAUCUUGAAAAAGAUUAUCUAAGGUAUGUAUUGGAUAGAGAAUGAGGGUGUGGUGAUACACAUUUGUUUAAGGGUUGUAUGAGAUCAUUGUCCGUCAAAGUUAGCUAUUGUUUUACAAGGCCCACAAUGUGAUAGCUGCUGAUUUUAGUUUAUCAUGACUUAUAUUGUAGAUUAACAUCUAAAAGUGGAGGCUGAAUCGUGAUAGUUGUACUGGUCAGAGAAUAAGGUAUGUAAGGUUGUUCCAUUCCAUAUUUCUUUACAUGAAAUCUGGUAAUUGCAAUUAUUAUCAACAAAGUGAAUUUUCUAAGCUCUAUCCCUAGUAAGGGAAACAUAGUGACAGCAUACGAUCUCCAAAUAGCUAACAAUAUUUUCUACUCUUCCUAGUGUGUUGAAUUACUUCAUUAUAUGUUCAUUACUCUACAUUUGUAUAAUUAUCCUCCUAUGUGCUAGUAUAGAAAUGGUAUUCGCAACAGCAAGCUUGGUAAAUUCUCGUCUUAGUCAAUUGAAGUCAAUUGUGUCAUUUAAGCUUAUAAGUAAUGCAUUGAUGCUUCAUAGCUCCUUAUGUCAUUGUUAUUGUCUUGAAGUUAUUAUUCUCAUGUCUUCUACUACUGGUCCGUAGUUCCAAAUCUAAAACAUGAUUAUGACCAUCAAAACAACAAUCUCAAAGAUUAAAGAAACUAAGUGAAGCAAUUUGUAUAAUUAUGGGUGGCAGCCCAGGAGAAAAUGCCUAGCAUGAGUCGAUCUCAAUUGGUAUAGAAGGGUGGCAGCUCAGGGGAGAAAGCCUAGCAUGGGCCGAUCAAUUUGUGUAAUUACGAGGACAUCAUCCAAGGGGUUAAAAUGUCUAGCAUGGGUCAUCCUCUUCUACCACUAAUCAGCUAGUCAUUUGUAUCACAUGCCUUACAAAGAUUAUAAAGUACAGAAAAGUAAAGAAAAGAAUGUAACAUACAUGAUCCCACAAGAGUAAACAAAUGCGGUCUUCUAUUUCGAUCUAUGCACUUAUAUAUUGAUACUUGACUUCAUUUGAGCCUUUAUUUUACAUAUGUUAUUGCCUUACAUAUUCAGUACAUUUUUUUUGUACUAACGUCCCUCGUGGGGGACACUGCAUUUCAAGUUGCUGGCACAUGUACUCCAGCUAGUAGACUUCUUUAGUAGGAGCACAAAUACUCAAUUGCUAUUGGUGAGGCUCCAGGUUGAUUCGGAGCUUACCGAGUCUUUGACACCUAUCUUGUUACUGUAUGAUAGUUAAGGGUAAGGUGGGGCCUUGUCCCACCCUAAACUAAGGUUUUCUAUAUUUUAGAGGCUUCAUAUGCUGAUGUAUAUAGUUCAGUUGUGUCUUGUCUCUUAAGAAGUUGUGGCCUCAACGGCCAAGUCUUGUAUAUAAGUUUUGGAUCUACUUGUGUUGGUUCGUAUUGCUGCAUCCUAUAUGGACUUUUUACAACUUUAAAAUUUUUAUAGUUAUACGCAUAGUAAGCACAUGUUAUAUGUUGGUUCUCUCGGGCCUUUAGGGCAUCAGGUGCCAAUCCGUCUUAAUGGGAAUUGAGGUGUGACACAAUAGGCCUUCAUAUCCCUUUUCUUCAAGUUAAACAUACUAUUGAUAAAUGAUAAAGUUCUGACUGUGUUACCAAGUUGAAACCUAUGUACAAAGUAGUGCUAAUGUUUAUUUUAUGACAUUUGGAAAAUGAGGAAUAUUAUUAAACACGGGGGUGAUGGGG
rnacentral:lncRNA from 1 species